GAUGAAGAACGUAUCGAAAUGCGAUAAGUAAUGUGAAUUGCAGAAUUCAGUGAAUCAUCGAAUCUUUGAACGCACAUUGCGCCCAUCAGUAUUCUGUUGGGCAUGCCUGUCCGAGCGUCAUUUCAACCCUCAGGGCCCGUUCGCGGGAACUGGUGUUGGGGAUCGGCCUCCCCCCGGAGGCCGGCCCCGAAAUGCAGUGGCGGCUCUACCGCGAUCUCCUCUGUGUAGUAGCGAUACCUCGCAGCUGGAUAGUGGUGGUGCCACGCCGUAAAAUCCCAACUUUACCAAGGUUGACCUCGGAUCAGGUAGGAAUACCCGCUGAACUUAAGCAUAUCAAUAAGCGGAGGA
rnacentral:misc_RNA from 1 species